CAAACGCGACCACGAGUCACCCUCCCCCUCGCCCAUCUCCCUCCCGCUUGUGGACAGUAGCGGCGGUCGAGAUCCGCAUCCCUCCCCAAUCCCCAUCUCCGGCAACUACAGUAGCUCGCCUAAGGCAAGCAGAUGGGGGCUACUCAUCCCCUUCCCCUCUCAGGCCCUUGGAGCGGCUUGUCGGCGUGAUCCGUGCCUCUGCCCCCUCUCAAGAUCCUAGAUCGCUGGCGGCAAGCCGGUGGUGGGCUCCUCCUUCGCCUCUCACGCCCAGGAUCAAGUAGUGGUGCUCGUUGAAGUCUUUCGCCUUGCAUACUGGAAUCCAAAUCGAAUGAAAAGCAUGGUGAAUUGAGGGAGCAAAGAGCAGCAUCAAUGCUACACUUUGAAGCUGAAUCAUGGUGAAAGCCUCAAAGGUAGGUUUCUCUGCCACCGGAAAUAAUUAUUCAUCUCAGUUCUUUUCUAUGGCUAUUUGCAGGCUAAGUUGUGUUAUAAGUUUGUAUUUUUUAUGCUUGUGUACACUCUGUGUGUGCCCACCAGUCUUUUUUAUAUGUAAGCUCUGAGUGUACCUUACAGACUUUUAGUCCACGAAAGAACAUAAUUAUUUCCAGUUUCUUGCCUUGAUGUAAACUAUAAAAUUGUCCAUGUAUUUGUACGACUGCAAGGGCGAAACUCAUUUGCGUGCGAGAUAAUUUUAGUUCCUUUGUUGAACGUACACCAACACAGACUUGUGCUGAACUGAAUCAUAUUCGUUUGGUGUUAUCUCUCCCUGCAAAUGAAGCUUGAUGAGAGACAAGCAUUCGAACCGGAGGCAAACGUCAACUGAACAAUAUUAUGUCAUGUACAAUCAAGAUAGCAAAUGCUCGCUGAGCGGUUGAUCAUUUUAGUACUUAAUAUUUGGUUUUGCUGGUCAUGUAAUAAAAAUAAUCAUCUCAUGUUAUGGAUCACUUCACAUGCAUGUAUGUGGAUCAAAGUCGACCCAGAAAUGGAAUACCUUGCUCACAAACAUUUUCAGCAGCCUAUUCAGAUGUGGGUGUGUAUUGCGAGAUAACCUUAAUGUUAACUUCAAUUUUAUGUUGCAUAAUUCAUAUAAAAUAUUAGCUCUGUUUUGGAUAAUCCAGUUUGACAUAUACAUUUAGUUGUGCGUCAAGGGGAUGACUUAAUUUUCACAUAUAAUCAAAUAUUGACAUGCUUGAAAGAGUUGUCAUCAACAUUCUGCCGAUUUGGAAAUAAAUGAGAGACAUGAGGUUGUUACUAUAAAAGUGAUGUUUAUAUCUAUCUAUUUCUAGGGGGUGAUUCGUGAAAUGUACACUUAAGUGGGAGCAGUCCCCUCCACCAUAAUCUGUGCCAUUCAUCUCCCAUCCAAUGGCUCAGAUUUCAUUUUUCUAUUAUUUCACAUGAAGCUCAGAUUCUAUACUAGUUGCUCCCUUAUUACUGAUUUCUCAUACAUAGACAAAAACAAUUCUAGAAUAUCAUCAUCCAAUUAUGAGCAUAUAGGUUUUAGUAUUGUCUCUACUUGUGUGCUGGUAGCCUAAUACCAUCUACCAAAAUGUAGUUAGUAGUUACCUAUGGGACAAUUGCCUUGUUGAUGCCGACUGAUAUGUGAUAAUUUGCAGUAGAAUGUCCAGUAAACACAUAGACAGAUAUAAGGUGGCAUAUGUAUUUCUUACUUAUUUUCUUCAUUUUAUCAUUAUAAGGAAAGUAUGGAUCCCAAGUUCAAAGCCAUAUCCAAUUAGUUUGUCUCUCAAAAAAAUACAAGGAAUGCUAAACGAUGAUUUACCCAUGGAGGCAUGGACCGAGAUUGCUUUAAUUUGGUCGUACGGAAGAUUAUGUUUGAUGACAUCCAAAAGACACAAAAAACAAAACAAUUGAUAGAAAUACAUUAUCUGGACAUGAAAUAUUGGACUUGCUUGCUGGUGGCUGGUGACCUGCAUGGACCUGGUGGUGCCGUCGGUCGCGGCGCUGCCGCCACCGUCGUUGCGGCAGCUAGGUCGGGAGUAGCCGAGUAGGGGAGAAGCAUACUGAAGUCUGGAUUCUGCUCCUUCGACCAGCCAGUUAAGGGUUGGAGUCGUCAGCCGGCGCCGUCGUCAGGCAUCAGCUAAGUUAAAGAAUUGGGAAUCAGGCGACUGGCUGGUUCGUACGGGUGGGCUGCUCUUAGUGCUCUGCCAAUUUGGCCUUCAGAUUGUUGCCUGCUUAAUUGCUUGUGGGACGUAUAAGCACAGAAAUAGUGCAAAAAAUUACAAAUGAAAUAUAAUAUUUCAAAAAAAUGUUCAUCAUCAUAAAAAUGAUAACCUUUUAGAAAAUAUUAUUUAAAAAACACCACAAAAUAAAAAAUAUCUGUGCUUUUUGAACAACCAAAAAAUACUUUCAUCUGAUGAAAUGAAAGUGCGGAACUGAAAUAGGUAUGACGCACAUUGUUAGGGUACGCCCAAAUUUCAUGGUCCAAAAAAAUACUCAUUGUAAUCUUAUUUCUGACGUUUGCAAAAAUAGGACUAAAAAGUGUUGCAUAAAUGGCACAUGGAGCAGGUUUCAAGUUUUUGCCCCAAGAUCUCCUCUCGUCUCCUUUCAUUCGUUCUUUCUUUCCUUUUCCUUGUCACUGGGGUCGAAGGGUAUGCAAAACUUAAUUAGGCACUAUAGAGUUGGUUGUGCGAUAGGGGAAAAUGACUUUGAUGCUUAGCUCGGAUGUUUGCUUAGUAUGCUUAGAGUUGGUUGUCUGCUUAGUAUGCUUAGGAUUUGAUGUGGUCCAUGUCUGGUCUGUACUGCCCUGGUUUGGUGUUAGGUUGAUUUGGUUUAUGAUGCAUUUGGUUGCUGUAGGCUGGGUGCACAAGAUUUUGUAGACCAAAACAUGUCAAAAGCUAAUUCGGACGGGUCUUCUGCAAAUGAUUUUCAUCUUCAGACAUGCCUUGAGUAGAUUAUUUAAUCAUUUUAUAAGAAUCAAUUUAACUUUGUAUUGUUGCAGCUUCAUUAUAUAUGUACUUACCAGUGCAUUUAAAGGUUCAACAAUGGAAAAACCACCAUCAGUCUUGGCUAGAUUGACAUUGGAAGAAAUAUAAUGAUGAAUCAUGAACUUCAUAUAAUCGUCGGCCUAGAUUGCAUGCUCCUUAUUUUCAAACUGUUCCUUUAAUGGCUGUCAAACUGGUAUGCGCGAGCAAGAACUGCAGUAUCAAUGUGAAGACUUGAGGAAGAAGGUAGUGUUAUUGAUCUUACAAGGUACAUUUUUUUGUGUGUAACAUAGUUUUUUAUAGUAAAAUUGUAUCUCUCUAUUGGGUAUGGCUUUCUAAAUGGCAUUCGGUGUAACCUGCCAAAUCUCUCCCAUGCAUAAAUGAUUUUUCAAAGUAUAGCACCCAAAUGAUUCACCCAUGACAUGUUCUUGGAACUGAUUUGUACUACUGAUUAUUCAAAACACGAGUGUUAGAUUUUGUAGUCUGAAAAUAUGAUAAUGAUGCCGAGAGAAGAGAUCAUGCGUAUGAUCCAUGAACAUGACGUGCAACAAGAGAUAGUAUGACUUCUUCAGAGAACCAUCUUGAUCCUUCUUUUUUCUUCAUAAUAUUGCCAACCAUUGAGAUUGUGGUGCGGAAGGUCGCGGGCGCUAGAGAUUGUGGCACGGUUUAGAGGGUUGGCCGGCGCGGGAGGCGGCGACUCAGGUAGGGGGCGACGAGCAAAAUAUUUCAAAAGCCCGUGGCAACGCAUGGGCAUUCUACUAGUGUUGUUUCAGUGGUAUUCUGAUGACCCAACAUCUUAGUAAGUUUCACCCCGACUUAAAAGUGGAUACUGUAAUGCGAAAUGGUAUUACGUACGAGGUUGCCACGCACUAUUCCAUAGGAACGAUUUCAUCGCCCUAAGAACGCGCCAUCACCUUCAAAUGGCAUGUUGAGAAACAAGAACUUCCACAUGCCGAGCAUCAGUACCGGUAUUCCUUCUCGAGCUUCUAUUUCUUCCGUUAAAAGAGACCCGCGACUUCUAGCGUGACAGACCAGCACUCUAACCAACUGAGCUAUUUCCCUCUUCGUUCUCCUCGGAUUCCAGUUCAAUCUCCCAAUCAGUGAGAAAUAGACCGUCGGAUCAAAAAAUCCCUGGGAAAAAAGAAAAGAUAUCUCGGUAACGAAAACCAUAGGA